rnacentral:rRNA from 1 species
GUUAAGUGCGUGCCAGGAGGUGGGGUAUGACGGUGGAUGUAGUGGUUAGGCGUAGUUACGUGGAGUAAGGCGGUCGUAGGGUGUUGGGUAAUGUGGAUGGGAAAGCCCGGGGUGUAAGCGGAGAAGUGCAUCGGAUACUGGAAGAUGAGAGGGUGGGAGAGGGAGAUGGAAUUUGUUGUGUAGGGGUAAAAUGCGUAGAGAUAAGAAGGAAUACCAAAGGCGAAGGCGAUAUCCUGGACCAGUACUGACGCUGAGGCGCGAAAGCGUGGGGAGCAAACAGGAUUAGAUACCCUGGUAGUC